CCGACUUUAGCUCAGUUGGUAGAGCGGAGGACUGUAGAUCCUUAGGUCGCUGGUUCGAAUCCGGCAAGUCGGA